UAUAAUAAUUACACGAAAAUGACAAUAUUGUAUGCUCUAUCUAUAAAAUGGAAGGAAAAGAAGAAAUUAAAAUUUAUAAAUAAUAUUGCCAUAGCAAAAUUUUUGGUGGUUUUGUAUUUAAUAUUUUGUCAGCAGUUUUUAUUUAUUUAUUUUGAGGUAUAUUCAAUGUUUUGUUCCAUUUGUAUUUGAUGGUGAAUUUAAUACUAUUUUUUGUCAAUUUCAAUAUACAUUUGUACUUUUGGCAAGCACAAAACCGGCUAGAGCCGCUGCGCCUCCAUCUCCAAUUCCAGAUCGGGGUUGGUGGAGAAAAUGAGGUACCUGACCCACACGACGUCGCCGUUGGGGCCGAUGACCUUGCUGCCGUAGCCGAAGGGGUUUGGGGGCCCGAAUUACGCCUUCUCCUGCGGCGCCAAUUUGAAGAAUUUCAUAGCUUCCGCUUCCAUUUCGGCCAGGAAAUUCAUGUAUAUUAUGUGGUUGAUAAUUGUGAAGAACCCCAGCUUUCUUCACGCAUCCACAAUGACGCUUUUGGCGCCGGAUUCCGACAGGUCCACGACGGGGAUGGCGACGGCGUUCGCGGCCGCCUUGCAUGUCUUGAUGUGGGCCAGAUUGCCAUCGACAAUCGGCUGAGAUACCACCACCAUGAUAAUGAGUUGUAGAGAGAGAGAGGGGGGAAGAUAGUGAAAGAGAAAGGGAUGUGUUUGUGAAGGAAAGGGCGUUUCAGACGGCGUUCGCUCACCGGUGGAUGCUAGAGCAGCGGCGGAUGAUCGGAGAGGAGGCGACGACGCCGCGGCAAGCUGGAGCGGCGGCGACUGGGCGAACGGACGAAGGGGCAGAGGAGGGGCGCCGCUGUGGCGCAAAACCCUAGCAGCUGGUCCCUUUUUCACUGGUCGACGUCGUUUGCCUCUUCCGGUUGUCGUCGCCCGCCUUUCUUCACCUCGAAAUUAGGUGCAACCCAUUAUUUUCCGUCGUCCACUUCCUCCAGUUUCGGCCUAUUCGUCCAACGACUCUGCCUCCCCAGCCCAACGGCUUCUCUCUCUUCUUGCCUCCUCCGAUUGGCGUUGCCUGCCUCGUUUCACCUCGAACGCCCCGUAGCAUCAGCCUGCGCUCCCCUUCCCCGGUCUAGGCCCAUUGGUCCGACGACUUUGUAGCAGCUGCCGACGCCUCCCCAACCCAAAUUGCACAAUGGAAAGAUGAAAAAUUAGCAGCUAAUGAGCUGCUAUUUAUAGAUUGUAAAGUACACUUAGUAAAUUCAAAUUCAAUACUUUGGAGCCAAAACUGUAGAGCUUUUGUUAACCCAGCGGACAUAAACCAAAGCAAUAUCCAUUAGGUUGAAAGGGUGCUGCUAUUGGCGGGAAAAAUCUGCUGUCAAAAA